AGCCGGACUAGGUUGGGAAGCCAGGCUCUUCCUGUUACCCGAAGCCUAUACGCGGGAACGACAGUCCAGAGAGGCCAACCUGGCCUCUGUUAAGCCUUGAGGAAUCAAUGAGAUUUCGGCCCAGCGGAUCGGAGGAUUACAGAAAGCAAUUCAAAGGAAAUGUUUUCCGUAACUUAUUCACCAACCCCGCCAGGUCCGGAAGGGAGCAACGGUAGGUGGAACUUUUGGUGCUGCUGGAUACCGGGGUCGAGUGAACUCGGGGGUAAACUUAGCAGGACGUCAGGCCCAAUCUGGGCGCGUCCGGUA
rnacentral:SRP_RNA from 15 species